CAAGGGUAGGAGAAGCUCUGGGGCCUUUGCAAUUGACUUCUAAUAAGAUCAAACAUCAAACAUUUUUUACAAGAAGCAUGCACCCAGGAGGCAUUUUGCUUUGUCACAAUACAGAUUUCACAGCAUCUCUGAUGGGAGAGCAGACUUGCCUGCAGCCUCGGAGAACAACAGGAUGGUGCUUUGCUGUACCCCUCUACCUCCUCCCCUGGAAUUGUUGCCUCACUGCAAAAUUGGCCCUAGAACAGAGGGCACUUUGCUCCCUAGGUCUGAAGGUCACUGAUAUCAAGAUGGUGAUAAAUUCAGAUUCAGACUCCAUUAAACCUGAGUAGAGCAACCCAGCAGGUGGCUGUACUAAUGGAAAAUCCUGGCUUUGGAAUAAUGGGAAUUACAACCGACAGCUCUUCUAUGCCACAAAAAAAGAUGAUGUAUUCUUAUUGACAGUGUCGCAUUUGAGUCCAGAAGGCUGAUCUGAGAGUUCUGUCCUGGCACAACGGAAGCUAAAAGCCCCCUGGGUGCUUUCUUGGCCACACCACUAUAAUUUUUGUCAUCUGAACUUUCUAUUACAGUUCAUUUUACAAAUCGCAUGUAAGUU